AAGACAUCAAAACUAUGAAAUAACACAAAUGGAAUCAUGUAGUAACCAAAAAAUGUUUAAACAAAUCCAAAUGUAUUUGAGUCUUCAAAUAGCCACCCUUUGCCUUCAUGACAGCUUUGCACACUCUUGGCAUUCUCUCAACCAGCUUCCAUGAGGACAAUGACCCAACACACCUCCAGGCGGUGUAAGGGCUAUUUUACGAAGGAGAGUGACGGAGUGCUGCAUCAGAUGACCUGGCCUCCACAAUCCCCCGACCUCAACCCAUUUUGAGAUGGUUUGGGAUGAGUCGGA
ensembl:lncRNA